AUAAAUAAGUUUCAUUGACAUUGCAGAAAAAAUAAAUUUUAUCAACAUUUCAGAAAAGAUAAGUUUCAUCAAUAUUGCAAAAAGAUCAAUUCCAUCGACAUUGCACAAAAGAAAAGUUUCAUCAAGAUGACACAUAAGAUAAUCAAGAGAUUCAUUAAUCUUAUUACACUAAAGUUAAACAUUUCCCCUUUUCAUCACUUAUUAUUACAUGAGUUGUUUCACUUUGCAACUAAUAGUUUUUUUGUGAGGUUCACGAACUCUUUUGAGUCCAUGGAACAUAAAAUUCAAUUUUGUAUUGCCCUUUACUUUACUGUAUGUAUUUAAUCACAAAACUUUAUUUUCUUUGAAAGUACUUCUAAAACAAUUCUAUUGAAAUAAAGAAGCCCUAGGGACAUGAAUACCCUUGGUCUGUGCUACAGAUAUUUUAAAAACAAUUUAGUUACUACUUUGAAUUAAUUCGCUUUGCCUAAAUAACAUUUUCUAUUCAUUACAAACACAACCAUUAUACCUUACUAGAACUUUAAAUGUGAAAACCUCUAGUUUUGGAAUAAGUGUAGUGGGGUUGCACAUGCACAAUUCCAAUGUUAACAUAUAAAAAGGACUUUAAAUGCAGGAGUGUGUUAUAACCAGUAGGAAAACAUGAAAUGAAAGGAAAAUAGACAGAAGAAAUUCAUUGACAUGUAUAAUGAUGAAAAGGGAUCUAAUGCCCCAGAAUUCUUACACAAAGGGGAGAUAACUUGAUGAAAAGAUGGAAUUGUUUAGUUAAAAAUGUAUAUAAUCUGACACAUUUACAUUCAAUUAUUCAUUUCUCUAAUACAAUUCAACCAGUGUCAUGGCUGUUUAUGGCUUAGUACAAUGCAGUAGUCUAUAAAAAUAUUCAAAAUCAUCAAAUAAAACCUAUAAAUUCAAUAAUUCAAUAAGUUUGUAAAAGUAUUCAUGCUAUACAUGUUAUAACAGUAAAUCAUCAUUAUGUGUAGUUGUUAAAAUGGGUAAGAAAAUGUUAGACAUGUGUGUUAAAUAUAAAUGCUUCAUUAUCUAGCUAAUCUUAAAAGAGGUUAAUGCACCAAUAGAAGAGCAUCAAAUGAGAUCACUGUCUGAAUUAUGUACAAUAUCUUUUUAAUGAAUUACAAUGUUAAUGUAUAUGAAAUUUAUGACUAGCAAAA
rnacentral:lncRNA from 1 species